rnacentral:snRNA from 1 species
GCAUAUUUUAAGAGUUCAUGGGA